rnacentral:rRNA from 1 species
AUUGAACGCUGGCGGCAUGCCUCACACAUGCAAGUCGAACGGUAACAGGUCUUCGGAUGCUGACGAGUGGCGAACGGGUGAGUAAUACAUCGGAACGUGCCUAGUAGUGGGGGAUAACUACUCGAAAGAGUGGCUAAUACCGCAUGAGAUCUACGGAUGAAAGCAGGGGAUCGCAAGACCUUGUGCUACUAGAGCGGCCGAUGGCAGAUUAGGUAGUUGGUGGGAUAAAAGCUUACCAAGCCGACGAUCUGUAGCUAGUCUGAGAGGACGAUCAGCCACACUGGGACUGAGACACGGCCCAGACUCCUACGGGAGGCAGCAGUGGGGAAUUUUGGACAAUGGGCGCAAGCCUGAUCCAGCAAUGCCGCGUGCAGGAUGAAGGCCUUCGGGUUGUAAACUGCUUUUGUACGGAACGAAAAGCCCUGGGUUAAUACCCUGGGGUCAUGACGGUACCGUAAGAAUAAGCACCGGCUAACUACGUGCCAGCCGCCGCCGUAAAAC